AAUCUUGUAGCAUGUCCUACACAUACCCAAGUCAUUUUGGAAUUCAUUCAAAAAACACUUUCAUCACAUGCAGCCAAAACAAUGGGCCGCCUCUACUGUCCUCGUUGGAACAUCUACGUACUGUACUUAAUCUGACAAUGUUUUGUUGAACUGAUAUGCCCCUGUGUUCCUGAUGUUGCCAGCUGUUGGUGUGAUUCAGUGCCAAGUUCUAUUGGAUUAAUUCUGGGAUUACCUUGUGAAGGUCACCUUGGCAGUCCCUGAACUCAAACAACCUCCCUCUAGAUUGACAGCAUCACAUUCCAAUGGGUCUGGAUGGAUUGUCAAAUAUACACACACAGGUGACUGGGCAACAAACAGCUCUCUCAAUCCAGUCCCUAUCUCUGAAUGGACCUUUAUUUCUAUUACAAUCCCAGAAAGGAUCUACACCACACCAGUGAGAAGAUAAUUUGUAAAUAAACACCGAUGCCAGCUGAGGAACACUGGCUGUAGACUGGAAAUCUGCACACUUCUGUAUUAUCAUAAACCCUGAUAAUCCCUCAAAACAGAUGUGUAUUGGAUGAUCUCAAUCCACCUGACUCAUCCACGGGCUUGUAUUGUGAAAACUCUCUCUCUCCAUCAUCUUAACCACAACUUAAUGGAAUGGGGAUUUUUCAUAGAUUCUCAACCCAUAUCAAAUGUCUAUAAUCAAACCACUUUUAUUUCCUAAAAUUACAAACAAUAUGGCCUUUAACCAAGUUUUGUACAAGUGAACUCUACCAGAAAAAUGUAAAAACAAUGAGUCAUAGAAUUGUGAUGAUGAUGUCAGAGAAUCUCUAACAAUAAUUAAUUUUUCAAUAAAGAAGAUGAAAUUUAACUAUAUAUAUAUAUAUAUAGUACAAUCUUCCAUUACUAUUCAUAUAUACAUUACAGUACAUCACAGUACUAAUCCAUAAUUAACCUGUGUGUGCAUGAUGCAGUUCACUUAAUAGACUUAUAUAAUCUCCAAAUCUAAAACUGUAAGAAGAACAAUUACUCAAACAAAAUACAGCAUAGACCAAACAAACCUGAUCCCAAACAAACAUGGAAAUUCUUGUGAUAUCUCAAGUAUGCAAAGUGCUAAUUAAAAAACUCAGAUAUACAUAGCAUCUUGAGGGCUUCACUGGGAGAAGUAUAUCGAGUAAACAAACAGAUUUAGAUUGAUGUCUUGGAGAGAAGGGGCGCAGCUGCUUUAAGCAGAUUCCCGGACGAAGUAUUUCUUCACAAUGUUGAGCGGGUAUAUCCAGUCACUAUGAAUUUAAUCCUAAAUAUUUACACAUUUCCGAGGUCUUUCUUCCUUUGACUUACAAAUUGUAAUGCUAGUCAAUUUCCCCAUGAACGAGCUGCAGUUGUGAACAUGAUGUACAUAUGAAUAUUAAUAAACAUAACAUGUGUCUUUUCACGACUGGGAAUUCCAAAAAGAUAUAAAUGUAGAAUAUAAGAAAUAAAUUUCAAUUUUGGAAAUACAAGAGACAAUAUAUGAACCACAAUGUUUCAUACCGACAGACGUACUUCAUAAUAUCCGAUUACCAGGCCCGGGGGCAUAUAAUUAAAAAUUCACUCUAUUCCUGUUCACAUAAUGCUGCAGCUUUAAAUCAAGAGUUAAUUAUAUAUAUAUAAUGUCCUUUAAUUGCAAAGGUAAAAAAUUA